CCCGCACAAGCGGUGGAUGAUGUGGAUUAAUUCGAUGCAACGCGAAAACCCUUACCUACCCUUGACAUGUCCGGAAUCCCUGAGAGAUUGGGGAGUGCUUGAAAGAGAAUCGGAACACAGGUGCUGCAUGGCUGUCGUCAGCUCGUGUCGUGAGAUGUUGGGUUAAGUCCCGCAACGAGCGCAACCCUUGUCAUUAGUUGCUACAUUUAGUUGGGCACUCUAAUGAGACUGCCGGUGACAAACCGGAGGAAGGUGGGGAUGACGUCAAGUCCUCAUGGCCCUUAUGGGUAGGGCUUCACACGUCAUACAAUGGUACAUACAGAGGGCCGCCAACCCGCGAGGGGGAGCUAAUCCCAGAAAGUGUAUCGUAGUCCGGAUUGUAGUCUGCAACUCGACUACAUGAAGUUGGAAUCGCUAGUAAUCGCGGAUCAGCAUGUCGCGGUGAAUACGUUCCCGGGCCUUGUACACACCGCCCGUCACACCAUGGGAGCGGGUUUCACCAGAAGUGGGUAGC
rnacentral:rRNA from 1 species